GAGAGGUACCAAAUAUCUCCCAUCACUCUUGCUUGGGAUGAAUGAUGCUGCCAGGGACUAAGCACACCACCUCCUUGCUGUUUUCAGUGGAAGUGAGAGAUGCCCCUCAUCCAACAGGAUCUGUUCCCUGAGAAGCCAUGGAGCCGGCAAGGGAUAGCUGUUUCUCUAUACUGAUGGAAAUCGAACACUGAGAAACCUCAGACUUUCUGCGAAGUUUUGGAGUCGGCCACAGGAGGGCAGUGGAUCCAGCCCAACCUGCAAAGAAAUCUGUCUCUUCUGGCUGAAAUACGACAUACACAAAGCAGACUGUAGAGGUCACUUUGCACCAAGAGAUGGUUGGGUCUGAGGCGUGAGUGUCCCGCUGGCUUUCCCCAAGAGGAAAACAGUCGAUAUGCCUAAAUCAGAAAAGUUUGGUGUUAUGCCAGCCCAUGCAAGAAGCUGUCCUGAAUUAUAUCUUCAAGCAAAUGGACUCUUGUGGGGCUUUAAAAUGCUGAACACCUUCUUGGCAGAGUCUCAUUGAAUAAAAGUCAAGAACCUCAUGAAUUUCCCUCAAUAAAACAAAUGUACAACAAAAUCAGAGCUUUGGGUUACCUCAUUGAAGCAGAGUUGUUGAAGGCUGACCAUGAGCUGUGGUAGAGCAACCAGCAUGCAAAUGGCUCUGCUGCAGAGCAGGAUCCCCACAAGGCAGCAUGGCCUGUUGGAGCUGAUGGAGGAGAACUCCUCAACAUGUCAGUACUGGUUUGGGUGGCUGCCAGGGCAGGGCUGGGAGAAGGAGGGCUGGUGAACCACAGGUGUCAUGGAUAGGAUUGCAGAUGUCAGGUCUGGGGAGAAGUGUACACAUGUGCAACAACCAGCAGAUUCAUGUGCAUGCAUGCAUUUGUACCAGAGUGGGUACCCUGUCUCCAACCUUGUAUAUACACACUCCUUGAACACAAGAGUGAAUGCACACUUGCCUGUACACACUCAGCAACCCCUCCAGGCACAAGAACCCUGCUCAUCCGUGUCUGGUCCCAGUUGCAUUUUUCCACCUUCCCCUUUGCACAGUCUCACAGACAUGUCUAUGUCUGUUAGCUGGGCUGGGAAUCCAUAGUCCAA